GCUCGGCCGGCUAGCGGAGCUAAGAGGAAAGAGAGGGAAAAGUGAAGCGCCCGGCUUCCUUAACGUAGUCUCGCGAUAUUUUGGAAGAGACGCGGCGGCCGCGGGUGAAGUUUACUUUUACCGGACCGUUGGCGAUGAGGUCUCGAGGGGGGUUGCUGCUGAGGCGGUGGCGAGCGCAGCCUCGCAGAACCUUUUACCGACUGGGAUAGCGCGUUGCUCUCGGAUAGCAAAGCAGUGGACACUCUCGAGAGCUACGUAAAAAGAGACGCAAAGCAGGAAGUUUCCUCUGGAAAGCUGAUGGGACCUUUUUAUUUCGCGGGUUUCCUUUUAUAGCAAUAAUGUUUCAUUGUGUCUUUUCUUUGACAGCCUGGAGUAGAAUGAGGCUUUUUCCACCCAUAUAGUUGCCACAAUAAAUUAUCUUCUGUAUCCCUGCGUUUUAUUUUAAAAGAAAGUGGCACUCAUCACCCCAAAAUAAAGGCGGCAAUGGAUGGACAAAUUAAUAUAUCACAUUUGGAAACAAAAACAGAUAACCCUGCAGACGAGGGAGGUGCAAUUCUAUUUACAACAGGAGGAAAUACAUGUGAUUGGGGUGCCCGGAAUUACCAGUUACAGUAAUGUUCAAAGUUUGCUGCUUGAAACUGCAUAUUUUUCAAAAGUCGUGUAAGAUUAGGGUUAGGGUUUUCUUCCUUGUUGGUGUACAAGUCCUUGUUGCUUUAGGAAUUGUUCUUCUCUAAGAUGUAAUAUUAACGAGUAUGAUUACCUUGUAUUUUGACAUUAAAUUUAAACUUUUAAGAUUAA